rnacentral:rRNA from 1 species
UACGGGGGGGGCAAGCGUUGUUCGGAAUUACUGGGCGUAAAGGGCGCGUAGGCGGCCUUCCAAGUCAGACGUGAAAUCCCCGGGCUCAACCCGGGAACUGCGUCUGAUACUGGAAGGCUUGAAUCCGGGAGAGGGAUGUGGAAUUCCAGGUGUAGCGGUGAAAUGCGUAGAUAUCUGGAGGAACACCGGUGGCGAAGGCGGCAUCCUGGACCGGUAUUGACGCUGAGGCGCGAAAGCCAGGGGAGCAAACGGG